AUCCUUCCCAAGUGCCUGCUGACGUUGUCAGCAACAUGCUCAGGGCAGCUUUGAUCUAGAAAGCUGCAACGUACAUACCGUACGCCGAUCACCACCCAACCGCUAAAGCAUUCAAUUUGUGGUCACACGUCAGCGUUAUCGACGUGGAAUGC
rfam:Pseudomonas sp. 1 R 17 genome assembly PSEFL294_LIB5394, contig: PSEFL294_LIB5394_000042